CCCUCGGAGUACCAUACCAACGAAAGUAGCUGCGGCAAAAUCGGGUACGUUGAAAAGGGAA
rnacentral:sRNA from 12 species